GGUUGAAUUGGCUUUGGUAUCUGACAUUUCACUCCUCAUGAGGAUUGAUUUAACUAAUCUGGCUUGCUAGGAGCAAGUCUCCACCUACCUCAUCAUGCCAUUAAUGUCCUUCCUGAAAUUGUGCUUUGGUCAAAGGGAACAACAUUCCUAGAACAAGAGGCACCAUUCAUUAGUGAAGGGUAAAUCAAUGACCUCUAUUUUUUAGAGUAAAAGAACGUACGCUUAACCAUGAUUCUCAGCUCUUAAACUGCACUAACAAAUCCAGGAAAGGAGAUUGUAUAUACUAGAGAGCACUCUAGUUCAGCUUGAUUGUUUUUGUUC
rnacentral:sRNA from 1 species